UCCUUGUAUGUGGACCAUUAAAACUUUAUUAUAAGUCCGUGGUUAUAUAGCUUUUGGUUUAAAUCCAGCUACUUAGAGGACUGUUGUUAUAUAACAAUAAACUGAAGUUUGAAACAUUUCACAUUCUGCUACAUUAAAUGUAUAGGUAGAAAAAUCCUACAUUUGUUGACAUAAUUUAAUUACCUUAAUGAAAUGCUUUUGUAACCUUCUUUCAUUUUUACCACUUCUUCGUUGGAGACCUGAUGUUUAUAAGGAACAGAUGAUUUGUUAAUUCAUUUUCAAAAAUACUUAUGUGUGUUAGAAAAAGAUUUGAGGGAACAUGAUUUUUCAUUUGAGAUCCUUAUACAUGCAGAAAUGGAUUGUUAUUAUAUUGCAUUUUAGUGUAAAUCAGAAUGCAAUAUGUUUUAAGUACUUGUUUUUCAAAUUUUAAAAUGCAAGUGUAAUACUUCUUGAAUUUAUGGUUGAACUAAUUAAACGGUAGUCCCCUUAAUACUGUUUUCGAAAAGUUUCUUGGAUCUUUAUUGCUGAUUUUUCUCAAGGCUUUCAUUCAUUAUUCCCUAUUCUGUUUUUUAUUACUCUUUUAAAAUUUUCAUGUCUUAAUUCAAAGAUAUAUUUAUAGUAAAACUUUGUUUUAUAGGCCAGAAUACGAGGUAGCACAUAUUUUGCUGAAUUACACCUGCAAUUGCUAUUUGAAAUGGGAAGUAAAAAUGAAUUUACUGAAAGGGUGUUUUAUGUACCAGUUAUGCUGAAAUCAGAUUUAUGUUAUUUGAAUGGAAUGAAUGAUCAGCAGUUGGUGGAAUGUAAAGAAGAUAUAAAUGAUCCUGGUGGAUACUUUAUAGUGAAAGGUCAAGAAAGAAUAAUUAGAUUACUCUUGACUGCAAGGCAGAAUUAUG